CAGCACGGGGGGCAACCCUGGUGGCGAGUGGCGAACGGGUGAGUAAUACAUCGGAACGUGUCCUGUAGUGGGGGAUAGCCCGGCGAAAGCCGGAUUAAUACCGCAUACGCUCUACGGAGGAAAGGGGGGGAUCUUAGGACCUCCCGCUACAGGGGCGGCCGAUGGCAGAUUAGCUAGUUGGUGGGGUAAAGGCCUACCAAGGCGACGAUCUGUAGCUGGUCUGAGAGGACGACCAGCCACACUGGGACUGAGACACGGCCCAGACUCCUACGGGAGGCAGCAGUGGGGAAUUUUGGACAAUGGGGGCAACCCUGAUCCAGCAAUGCCGCGUGUGUGAAGAAGGCCUUCGGGUUGUAAAGCACUUUUGUCCGGAAAGAAAACGCCGUGGUUAAUACCCGUGGCGGAUGACGGUACCGGAAGAAUAAGCACCGGCUAACUACGUGCCAGCAGCCGCGGUAAUACGUAGGGUGCAAGCGUUAAUCGGAAUUACUGGGCGUAAAGCGUGCGCAGGCGGUCCGCUAAGACAGAUGUGAAAUCCCCGGGCUUAACCUGGGAACUGCAUUUGUGACUGGCGGGCUAGAGUAUGGCAGAGGGGGGUAGAAUUCCACGUGUAGCAGUGAAAUGCGUAGAGAUGUGGAGGAAUACCGAUGGCGAAGGCAGCCCCCUGGGCCAAUACUGACGCUCAUGCACGAAAGCGUGGGGAGCACACAGGAUUAGAUACCCUGGUAGUCCACGCCCUAAACGAUGUCAACUAGUUGUCGGGUCUUCAUUGACUUGGUAACGUAGCUAACGCGUGAAGUUGACCGCCUGGGGAGUACGGUCGC
rnacentral:rRNA from 1 species